CACCAGCCGUGUGCAAUGGCCAUUAACGCAACCUCCUUAACGUACAGGUCCAGAGGGGUCAGACCAGUUUGGUGUAAACAUUUCACCACUGAAUUCUAUUAUAUUUCCCUUUUUAACAGCACCUACAAAAAUAUGGAAUGUUUGGAAGAUAUGCAAGACCAAUCAUAAUUCAAGUUGGAAGUUACACAAUUGAAGGGAUAUCUGGAUAUUUCUACUUGGAAAUCUAAUUUUCAAUUAUAGAAAGUUGGGGUCACCAAUUGUAUUAGUGAUUGCAGUAUUUUACCACCGUUGAGAUGGGAAUGCCUCUGUUGCACUCAUUCAUCAUCCAAAAAGCUGAAAAAUGUAAUUGAAAUUUACAUUUUAUCACUAUGUAUAAUGAUCUUGGCGGAUUCUGGAAGUCACCUAAUAUAUCAAAUCAAUGGUC